GGAAGGUGCAAGCGUUAAUCGGAAUUACUGGGCGUAAAGCGCGCGUAGGCGGCUAGAUAAGUCGGGUGUGAAAGCCCUGGGCUCAACCUGGGAACUGCAUUCGAUACUGUCUAGCUAGAGUGUGGUAGAGGGAGGCGGAAUUCCGCAUGUAGCGGUGAAAUGCGUAGAGAUGCGGAGGAACACCAAUGGCGAAGGCAGCCUUCUGGACCAACACUGACGCUGAGGCGCGAAAGCGUGGGGGGAGCAAACAGGAUUAGAUACCCUGGUAGUCCACGCCCGUAAACGAUGUCAACUAGCCGUUGGGAGCAAUUUGGUUCUUGGUGGCGCAGCUAACGCGAUAAGUUGACCGCCUGGGAGUACGGUCGCAAGAUUA
rnacentral:rRNA from 1 species